rnacentral:lncRNA from 1 species
AUGAAAAAAAAUAAAAAUCACAAAAUCCCUUUGUAACACCCUAACCGUCUCUUCUUCAACCCCAGUCCCCACCAUCCUUCUUCAACCCUAGCCACCUGCAACUAAAGAUUAACACAAUGGUGGUCUGUACCUUUGGAGCUCUAACCCAACUUCGCACCUCGUGGACGACACGCAGGUCGUCACUUCCAUCGAUGAUCAAAGCUGCGAUUUUGAUGCUUGGGCUGAGCCACCCAUGAUCCAAAACCUUGUUGUUAUGAUUCCAGGGCUGUUGGGCACCAUUAACAGACAUUAAGAGAAUGCAAUCAUAAUGAAAAACAUGAACAGAAAUCUUGAAGAACAAGUAAAAAAAUGGCUAAGGAGAACAAGAUGCUUAAAGUGAUCCUAGGGUUCAGUUAGUUCUUAGUCAGGAUGUGGGUUGUGUUAGUUUGGUCUAGGUGAACAAGUAUUGGGCGUUU